UACAGAGGUCUCAAGCGUUGUUCGGAUUCAUUGGGCGUAAAGGGUGUGUAGGUGGCGCGCUAAGUCGGGUGUGAAAUUUCGGAGCUUAACUCCGAAACUGCAUUCGAUACUGGCGUGCUUGAGGACUGGAGAGGAGACUGGAAUUCAUGGUGUAGCAGUGAAAUGCGUAGAGAUCAUGAGGAACACCGGGGCGAAGGCGGCUACCUGGACAGUGACUGACGCUGAGACGCGAAAGCGUGGGGAGCAAACAGG
rnacentral:rRNA from 1 species